rnacentral:rRNA from 1 species
AGUGAACGCUGGCGGUAGGCCUAACACAUGCAAGUCGAACGGCAGCACAGUAAGAGCUUGCUCUUACGGGUGGCGAGUGGCGGACGGGUUAGGAAUACAUCGGAAUCUACUUUUUCGUGGGGGAUAGCGUAGGGAAACUUACGCUAAUACCGCAUACGACCUACGGUUGAAAGCAGGGGAUCUUCUUACCUAGCGCUAUUUGAUGGGCCGAUGUCUGAUUAGCUAGUUGGCGGGGUAAAGGCCCACCAAGGCGACGAUCGGGAGCUGGUCUGUGAGGAUGACCGGCCACACUGGGACUGAGACACGGCCCAGACUCCUACGGGAGGAAGCAGUGGGGAAGAUUGCACAAGGGGCGAAAGCCUGAUGCAGCGACGCCGCGUGAGGGAUGACGGCCUUCGGGUUGUAAACCUCUGUCAGCAGGGAAGAAGCCACAAGUGACGGUACCUGCAGAAGAAGCGCCGGCUAACUACGUG